CGAGUUGACCAGACAAUCGCUGCUUUAUCAAAGUAUCAGAUGUGCAAACUGAAGAUAUAUAGAUAGAGGGGAGGAAAGUCCGGGCUCCAAUGAGCAGGGUGCCAGGUAACGCCUGGGCGGCGUGAGCCGACGACAAGUGCAGCAGAGAGAAGACCGCCGAUGGUUGUUCUUAGGAACUUCACAGGUAAGGCUGAAAGGGUGCGGUAAGAGCGCACCGGAUUGCUGGUAACAGUAAUUGCAGGGUAAACUCCACCCGGAGCAAGACCAAAUAGGGUUUCAUGACUGUUCGAGCGUAAGUUUAAAUAGUAUAAGCGUGGUUCGCGUGGAAACCGGGUAGGUUGCUUGAGCCUUAGAGCGAUUUAAGGCCUAGACGAAUGAUUGUCACUCUUUUUCGAAAGAGAUACAAAACCCGGCUUAUACGGUCAACUCGACUA
rnacentral:RNase_P_RNA from 7 species